AAGUUCAGCCAAUGGGCGCGCGCCCCACAUCCCGGGCUCAGGAGCGCCUCUCUGGCCGCUAGCGUUCCGGCGGGUCGCGCCCAGGGCCACACCCGGCUGGCGGUGGCGCGGGAGAGGUACCCGCUGGAAGGGUUGGAGAAUAAGGCGAGGCCCGUGCGGGGAGCGCGGGCGGCCAUUGUGGCGUGCUCCCGCACCGCCUACGCGGGGUCUGUGAGCCGGGAGCUGUCGCUCGGUGGUGGACUCCCGGAACCUCGGCGCGAUGCUUUGUAGGGAGCGAGCAGAGCGUGCGCCUCGUCCAGCCCCGUGGACCAAAUCAGGCCGCAGUGCAAAACUUCCCGCUGGUGAGAGAACUUGAACAGAUGACAACGGACAAGAGCCAGAGGAUGGACUUUGCAAUCCUUUCCUUUUACCUCCACCUCCAGGAAGAUUUUUCAUUUGUGGGGUUUGUUUUCUCUUUUUCAAUCCUUGUCUAAUUAUUAUAUGUCUGAAGUACCCUUCUCUGAAAUAGUGGCUUCCUAAUCUGGCUUCAACUCCGUUUUUGAGAAACAAAUCUCACUUUUUAGAAAGACCUUUAGAAACUUUCUAAUUUUAUCUUGAGAGGAGGGUGGAGGGAGCUUGCGCCUUAUAUUGCCAUAGAUAUUGUGAGGACUUGUGAAGACUACUAAAUCUGGGGAUUUUACUAAAAUCUGGGGAUCUCCUCUCCAACUCACUUUACUUCAUAGUAUAGAACUUGGUAAGCCUGAUACUUCUGCUCAAAACAUAAGUUGAAAACCAGAUCCACAAGUCAAAUUUUAUCACAUUGCUUAUAUUUAAGACUUGGAUUCUGAUGGGAGCAUGGAACGAGAAAACCCACCAUUCAUUGAAUAUAAACUGUGUUCUAGGCACUAAAACGCGUUACCCAAUCCACACAAAGCUCAUUGUAGUAAAUGCGAUUGUUUCUAUAGAUGAGAAAAAAAAAUGAAAUUCAGAGAAGUUGAGUAACUUAUUUCCUAAACCUGAGGUCACCCAAUGCGUAGGAGGCAAAGUAAAAUUCAAAUUCUGAUCCAUUUUGCUCUUAACUGUAUUUUUCUUUUGCAUCCCUUCAGAUGAUGACUACAAUAUAGUUGUACGUUGCUUAUAAAAAUUUUUUUGCCCUUAUGUUCAUACUCUUUUUGUUAAAUGCUUGAAGAACUCCAGUUAUAUGUUAAAGCCUCUUUGUAUUUCUGCCAUUUCACAAAUAUUUGUGCCUUUCUUUCCUUAAGAAAUUACUUUCUUGGGAUGUAGUCUAUAUAUAUACAAUGUAGUAUUACUCAGCAAUCAAGAAGAAUGAAAUAUUUCCAUUUGCAACUAUGUGGAUGGAGCUAGAAGGUAUUAUUCUAAGCGAAAUUAACCAGUCAGAGAAAGACAAGUAUCGUAUGACUUCACUCAUAUGAGGAAUUUAAGAUACAAAACAGAUGAACAUAAGGGAA